CAGUAGCCGCGGGAAUACGGAGGGGGCUAGCGUUAUUCGGAAUUACUGGGCGUAAAGCGCACGUAGGCGGAUCAGAAAGUCAGAGGUGAAAUCCCAGGGCUCAACCUUGGAACUGCCUUUGAAACUCCUGAUCUUGAGGUCGAGAGAGGUGAGUGGAAUUCCGAGUGUAGAGGUGAAAUUCGUAGAUAUUCGGAGGAACACCAGUGGCGAAGGCGGCUCACUGGCUCGAUACUGACGCUGAGGUGCGAAAGCGUGGGGAGCGAACAGGAUUAGAUACCCCAGUAGUCCCUGUCUCUUAUAC
rnacentral:rRNA from 1 species